rnacentral:rRNA from 1 species
UCAGGAUGAACGCUGGCGGCGUGCUUAACACAUGCAAGUCGAACGAUGAUCCCAGCUUGCUGGGGGAUUAGUGGCGAACGGGUGAGUAACACGUGAGUAACCUGCCCUUGACUCUGGGAUAAGCCUGGGAAACUGGGUCUAAUACCGGAUAUGACUCCUCAUCGCAUGGUGGGGGGUGGAAAGCUUUUGUGGUUUUGGAUGGACUCGCGGCCUAUCAGCUUGUUGGUGGGGUAAUGGCCUACCAAGGCGACGACGGGUAGCCGGCCUGAGAGGGUGACCGGCCACACUGGGACUGAGACACGGCCCAGACUCCUACGGGAGGCAGCAGUGGGGAAUAUUGCACAAUGGGCGCAAGCCUGAUGCAGCGACGCCGCGUGAGGGAUGACGGCCUUCGGGUUGUAAACCUCUUUCAGUAGGGAAGAAGCGUAAGUGACGGUACCUGCAGAAGAAGCGCCGGCUAACUACGUGCCAGCAGCCGCGGUAAUACGUAGGGCGCAAGCGUUAUCCGGAAUUAUUGGGCGUAAAGAGCUCGUAGGCGGUUUGUCGCGUCUGCUGUGAAAGACCGGGGCUCAACUCCGGUUCUGCAGUGGGUACGGGCAGACUAGAGUGCAGUAGGGGAGACUGGAAUUCCUGGUGUAGCGGUGAAAUGCGCAGAUAUCAGGAGGAACACCGAUGGCGAAGGCAGGUCUCUGGGCUGUAACUACGCUAGA